AUAGGGAGAAUUCUUCUGUGAAUUAUCUAGGCCUGAUGAAUUUUUUUUUUUUUUUUUUUUUCCUCUAGAGACAAGGCCUCACGAUGUUUUCAAUGCUGGUCUUGUACUCCUGGGAUCAAGUGAUCCUCCCACGGGAGGCUCCCAAAGUGCAGGGAGCCUGGUGAUUUUUGUGGGACACAAACAUGUUGACACUGAAGAAAGACAACAUCUUGACUGACAGGUAUGCCAACCCCUUUUUUUA
rnacentral:lncRNA from 1 species